rnacentral:rRNA from 2 species
GGUGCCUUCGGGAACUGUGAGACAGGUGCUGCAUGGCUGUCGUCAGCUCGUGUUGUGAAAUGUUGGGUUAAGUCCCGCAACGAGCGCAACCCUUAUCCUUUGUUGCCAGCGGUCCGGCCGGGAACUCAAAGGAGACUGCCAGUGAUAAACUGGAGGAAGGUGGGGAUGACGUCAAGUCAUCAUGGCCCUUACGACCAGGGCUACACACGUGCUACAAUGGCGCAUA